AUUGAACGCUAGCGGGAUGCCUUACACAUGCAAGUCGAACGGAGUGGCGAACGGGUGAGUAAUGUAUCGGAACGUGCCCAGUAGCGGGGGAUAACUACGCGAAAGCGUAGCUAAUACCGCAUACUAUUGGAUCGCCCGCUAUCGGCUUAGCUAGGUGGUGGGGUGACGGCUCACCAAGGCGACGAUCCAUAGCCGGUUUGAGAGGACGACCAGCCAACCUGGGACUGAGACACGGCCCAGACUCGUACGGGAGGCAGCAGUGGGGAAUGUUGGACAAUGGGGGAAAGCCUGAUCCAGCCAUCCCGCGUGAGAGAUGAAGGCCUUCGGGUAGUAAAGCACUUUUGACAGGAAAGCGGUACCUGCAGAAUAAGAACCGGCUAACUACGUGCCAGCAGCCGCGGUAAUAC
rnacentral:rRNA from 1 species